rnacentral:rRNA from 1 species
CCUACGGGAGGCAGCAGUGGGGAAUAUUGCACAAUGGGGGAAACCCUGAUGCAGCGACGCCGCGUGAGUGAAGAAGUAUUUCGGUAUGUAAAGCACUAUCAGCAGGGAAGAAAAUGACGGUACCUGUUUAAGUAGCACCGGCUAACUACGUGCCAGCAGCCGCGGUAAUACGUAGGGGGCAAGCGUUAUCCGGAUUUACUGGGUGUAAAGGGAGCGUAGACGGCAGCACAAGUCUGGAGUGAAAUGCCGGGGCUUAACCCCGGAACUGCUUUGGAUACUGGGCAGCUAGAGUGCAGGAGAGGUAAGUGGAAUUCCUAGUGUAGCGGUGAAAUGCGUAGAGAUUAGGAGGAACACCAGUGGCGAAGGCGGCUUACUGGACUGUAACUGACGUUGAGGCUCGAAAGCGUGGGGAGCAAACAGGAUUAGAUACCCUGGUAGUC